UACGUAGGGUGCGAGCGUUAAUCGGAAUUACUGGGCGUAAAGCGUGCGCAGGCGGUUUUGUAAGUCAGAUGUGAAAUCCCCGGGCUUAACCUGGGAACGGCGUUUGAAACUACAAGGCUAGAGUGUGGCAGAGGGGGGUGGAAUUCCACGUGUAGCAGUGAAAUGCGUAGAGAUGUGGAGGAACACCGAUGGCGAAGGCAGCCCCCUGGGUUAACACUGACGCUCAGGCACGAAAGCGUGGGGAGCAAACAGG
rnacentral:rRNA from 1 species